AAUCAACGCUGGCGGCGUGCCUCAGACAUGCAAGUCGAACGAUUAAACUUCCCUUCGGGGAAGAUAUAAAGUGGCGCACGGGUGAGUAACACGUAGGUAAUGUACCUUUGGGUGGGGAAUAACUUAGGGAAACUUAAGCUAAUACCGCAUAAUGCAGCGGCUCCUUCGGGAGACAGUUGUUAAAGAUUUAUCGCCUAAAGAGCAGCCUGCGGCAGAUUAGCUAGUUGGUAAGGUAACGGCUUACCAAGGCUACGAUCUGUAUCCGACCUGAGAGGGUGGUCGGACACACUGACACUGAAUAACGGGUCAGACUCCUACGGGAGGCAGCAGUCGGGAAUUUUGGGCAAUGGGCGAAAGCCUGACCCAGCAACGCCGCGUGAAGGAUGAAGUCUUUCGGGAUGUAAACUUCGUAAGAAUAGGAAGAAUAAAUGACGGUACUAUUUGUAAGGUCCGGCUAACUACGUG
rnacentral:rRNA from 1 species